rnacentral:rRNA from 1 species
GACGAACGCUGGCGGCGUGCUUAACACAUGCAAGUCGAACGGAAAGGCCCUGCUUUUGUGGGGUGCUCGAGUGGCGAACGGGUGAGUAACACGUGUGUAACCUGCCCCUGACUUUGGGAUAAAUUCAGGAAAAUGGGGCGAAUACCGGGUAGGAUCUCCUGCAGCAUGGUGGUGGAUGGAAAGAUUCGGCGGUUGGAGAUCGAAUGGCUGCUUAUGAGCUUGAUUGUCUGGUAGGUGAUUACCAAGGGUUUGACGGGUAGCCGGCAUGAGAGGGUGGACGGCCACAAUAGGCCUACGGUAGGGCGCAGAAGCCUACGUGCGGCAGCAGUCGAGAACAUUGCACAGUGGGCGGAAGCCUGAGACAGCAACGCCGCGUGCGGGAUACCGGCUUUCGAGUUGUAAACCGCUUUGGCCUGUGACGAAGCGUGCGUGACGGUAAUGGGUCAGGAAGCAACGGCUAACUACGUG